ensembl:miRNA Mir6929 microRNA 6929
GAGGGAGGGAGGAGCAGCAUCUGUGAAGGCUGCCAUAGAAACCACAGGUGCUGUCUUCUUCUUCCAG